rnacentral:tRNA from 1 species
CAAAAAGUAGCUUACCUUAAAGCAUUCACCCUACAACUGAAAAUCGUUGACGAGACCAACCUUUUUGG